GUCGGGGUGGCAGAGCUCGGUAAUUGCAAAAGGCCUAAGCCCUUUCCACAGAGGCUCAAAUCCUCUCCCCAACU
rnacentral:tRNA from 1 species